AGCUCAAAUUUAUAAUCUGGCACCUUCGGUGUCCGAGUUGUAAUCUCUAGAAAUGUUUUCCGCGUUGGACCGCACACAAGUCUGUUGGAAUACAGCGGCAUAGUGGUGAGACCCCCGUAUAUGGUGCGGACGCCCAGCGCUUUGUGAUACAUUUUCGAAGAGUCGAGUUGUUUGGGAAUGCAGCUCAAAUUGGGUGGUAAAUUCCAUCUAAAGCUAAAUAUUGGCGAGAGACCGAUAGCGAACAAGUACCGUGAGGGAAAGAUGAAAAGCACUUUGGAAAGAGAGUUAACAGUACGUGAAAUUGUUGGAAGGGAAACGCUUGAAGUCAGACUUGCUUGCCGAGCAAUCGGUUUGCAGGCCAGCAUCAGUUUUCCGGGAUGGAUAAUGGUAGAGAGAAGGUAGCAGUUUCGGCUGUGUUAUAGCUCUCUGCUGGAUACAUCUUGGGGGACUGAGGAACGCAGUGUGCCUUUGGCGGGGGUUUCGACCUCUUCACACUUAGGAUGCUGGUGGAAUGGCUUUAAACGACCCGUCUUGAAACACGGACCAAGGAGUCUAACAUGCUUGCGAGUAUUUGGGUGUCAAACCCGGAUGCGUAAUGAAAGUGAAUGGAGGUGGGAACCGCAAGGUGCACCAUCGACCGAUCUGGAUUUUUAAUGAUGGAUUUGAGUAAGAGCACGUAUGUUGGGACCCGAAAGAUGGUGAACUAUGCCUGAAUAGGGCGAAGCCAGAGGAAACUCUGGUGGAGGCUCGUAGCGGUUCUGACGUGCAAAUCGAUCGUCAAA
rnacentral:rRNA from 1 species